rnacentral:rRNA from 1 species
AUGGACGCCUUCGCGGCCGCUUUGCUCUCCGUAUGUCCUCCGGCCGAGCGCAGCUGCGAAUGCCAGCGCAGCCAUGCCAUCAAGGCGCUCGCCCUCUGCUUCUACCUGUCGGCCCCUCACCUCAGCUCCAUCGGCCGCGCCCUCGAGGAUGUCGUCAGCCGUGGCAAGACCAAAUGGAUCGAAUUUCGAAUAUCUCCGCCGCCAGGGGACAACACUGCCCCGGAGCUCACCGAGUUCGGGCAGCAAUUCAUGUCCUUCUGCCGUGCCUACCAGGUCGCCUUCCGGUGGCUCACGAGUCUUACACUCGAAAACCUUGCAUUCGGGGACUCUGACGUCACCGACCUCAUUAGCAAUUGCGUUAAGCUUGAGAGCCUCGCCCUGAGAGCCUGCCGGAUGGUCAAUUUUGAGCACUCAGUGCUGAAGAUUGACACACCGUGUUCUGGGCUACAGGAGCUCAAUCUAGUGCACUUUGUGUGCAAGCGGAUUCAGCUCAUCUCCGUCCCUAAGCUUAGGCAAGCUUCGUGCCUUAUUUGGCGCUUCGAGAACCCUCCGGUGCGCCUUGACUAUGUUCCCGACCUUAGACAUGUGGCCAUCGCUUGUCUUCGGACUCAUCCCAAGGCGCCAUUCAAGCUGAAUGAGUGCCUGUCAAGAAGUGCACUGAACCUGUCUGAACUGCAUCUCAAUUUUUUCCACCAAAUGAUAUGGAUUCAGCCGGAACAUCCGAAGCAGCUCACUGCUAUAUUCAGAAAUCUGUCCAAUGCGUCCCUUUCUGGUAUCUUCCCUGAGUGUGAUCUGAGCUGGACUCUUUUUAUCCUUGAAGCUGCACCUGCCCUGCAGAAGUUUGGAUUAUCUCGAACUCGGCAUGCAUGUGCCAAUGCGUUGGACAAUAAUGCCGAGAAGACCAACGUGGUGUGGGAGCCAUCGAAGGAUUUGAAGCACAUGAACUUGAAGUCGCUGAUGAUAGACGGGUUCGAGGAGGAAGACAAGGUGGCAGCCUAUAUAUGGCUAGUCGUGGAACGUGUUAGAAUUAAUGGGCUAGGCCCGUAG